GUUUCACAGGAGUACCUGUUGCUGUAAGGAACCCCCUGGUUUUCCAGAUUAAGCCAAAGUCAUGUGCCACGCCCAGGGCAUACCUUGAGUCUGUAUAAAUAUUAACACGCUUCCCUUCAGACAUCUUGCAUGCCACCGUAAGGGCUAUUAGUUCGGCUUCUUGUGCUGACUUAGAUGAUGGGAGUGAAGAUGCUUGGAGUAUUUGGUCCUCUGUGGUGACUGCAUAUCCGGUAUGAUAUUGUCC